AGCCCCGAGGUGUUUCGCACAUCAGAUUGCAAAUCUUAAGGAGCAGACUGAUCGUCUGCCGGGGCUU
rnacentral:tRNA from 1 species